UCCUAAGGCGAGCUCAGUGGGAACAGAAAUCUCACGUGGAGCACAAGCGCAAAGGCUCGCUUGAUUAACGAUUUACAGUACGAAUCGAGACUGCGAAAGCACGGCCAGC
rnacentral:rRNA from 1 species